rnacentral:rRNA from 1 species
CAGUCGCCGCGGUAAUACGAAGGGGGCUAGCGUUGCUCGGAAUUACUGGGCGUAGAGGGAGCGUAGGCGGAUAGUUUAGUCAGAGGUGAAAGCCCAGGGCUCAACCUUGGAAUUGCCUUUGAUACUGGCUAUCUUGAGUAUGGAAGAGGUAUGUGGAACUCCGAGUGUAGAGGUGAAAUUCGUAGAUAUUCGGAAGAACACCAGUGGCGAAGGCGACAUACUGGUCCAUUACUGACGCUGAGGCUCGAAAGCGUGGGGAGCAAACAGGAUUAGAUACCCCAGUAGUCCCUGUCUCUUAUAC